AACAAGGCGUACCUGCGGACCUGCGGAGGGAUCAUUACCGAGUUUACAACUCCCAAACCCCUGUGAACAUACCAAUUGUUGCCUCGGCGGAUCAGCCCGCUCCCGGUAAAACGGGACGGCCCGCCAGAGGACCCCUAAACUCUGUUUCUAUAUGUAACUUCUGAGUAAAACCAUAAAUAAAUCAAAACUUUUAACAAUGGAUCU
rnacentral:misc_RNA from 1 species